AGAGUUUGGAAGCCGAGAAAGUCAGACACGUGGUAGUAGAUGAUAGGUUGAUUUUAUGUAACAAGAGGAAAAAGAAAAUCUUUUGUCUUUUUAUUUUUUCUUUGUGUCGGGAUAACUCCCAAACUUCUAUCUCUCCCCAUUUCGAGCAAAGGCAAGAAAUUUCUGAUUUCGUUCAGUGUGGUGAGUUAACAAUCAUGAAAAUUGCGGUGUGUAUGUGUUCCUGUCGCCGGAGUCAUCAUCUCUAAACCCUUUUCUCGCCAUCAUCGGUCGGAGGUUAAUCUAAUGAGACAUUUAGGAUGUGAAUUAGAGAGAAGACGUUGAAGGAAGCUCUAGUUUCUUCGUAGUAGUAUGAAUCAAGCUCUUUUCCUUUGUAGA